rnacentral:rRNA from 1 species
GAUGAACGCUGGCGGCGUGCCUAAUACAUGCAAGUCGAGCGAACAGACGAGGAGCUUGCUCCUCUGACGUUAGCGGCGGACGGGUGAGUAACACGUGGAUAACCUACCUAUAAGACUGGGAUAACUUCGGGAAACCGGAGCUAAUACCGGAUAAUAUAUUGAACCGCAUGGUUCAAUAGUGAAAGACGGUUUUGCUGUCACUUAUAGAUGGAUCCGCGCCGCAUUAGCUAGUUGGUAAGGUAACGGCUUACCAAGGCGACGAUGCGUAGCCGACCUGAGAGGGUGAUCGGCCACACUGGAACUGAGACACGGUCCAGACUCCUACGGGAGGCAGCAGUAGGGAAUCUUCCGCAAAGGGCGAAAGCCUGACGGAGCAACGCCGCGUGAGUGAUGAAGGUCUCCGGAUCGUAAAACUCUGUUAUUAGGGAAGAACAAAUGUGUAAGUAACUAUGCACGUCUUGACGGUACCUAAUCAGAAAGCCACGGCUAACUACGUG